AGCAUAAUCUUUGGGUUCCAGAUAAGAAUUUGAAAUUAAGACAAUCUGAUCAACCUGAUCUGAGUGGGUAGACCACGAAAGAGGAUCAGACUCCAGUCUGAGGAGAUGGACAACACAGUAACGAGACUUCAAAACCUAACCUUGAAAACCAGGAGGAGAAAGAGGAAAACACCAUCCAGCAGGACUCUAGGGACGGUGAAACAGUUUCAGAAGAUAGGAAGGCAAGCCACGUUGAUGUUAAUUAAAAAACAUCACAAGAACAGCUGUAUUUGUUGAGAGCCUGUACAGGUGUGUGGCUUCCUGUUAACCUGACAAGACUAUGGCAGGAAUCUCCAGCCCUGUCGAUCUUACAACUGCUACCAGAUAGAAUAUUGAAGAGAAGCAAGAGGUUCCUCGGAUUGUUGACUGCUGCCAUCUUGGGGAUCAUCACUGUAACUGCAACUGCCGCAACUGCUGGCAUGGCCCUUACCCAAGGAAUUAAAACUCAGAAUGCCGUUGCUAAUUGGCAUAAAAAUUCUGAACAAUUAUGGAUUUCUCAAAAACAAAUUGAUACCAAAUUGUAUAAUGAAAAUUCUGACCUCAAACAAUCUUGUAAUGUUGGGUGAUGAAUUGAUUAGCCUGAAAAAACAGGUUAGAUUGGAAUGUGGUUGGAAUAUGACUACAUUUUGUAUUACACCUGUUAUGUAUAAUGAAACAGAAUUCCCUUGGGAUAAAGUUAAAAAACAUUGUUAAAUCAUGAAAAUUUGACUGAAGAAAUUGUAACUUUACAGCAUAAAGUGUAUUCCACUUUUCAGAACAAAUUACAGAAGAUUGACAGUGAUCAGGUAUGGAAGGAGAUUGCAGAUGGUAUUGAGCAAAUUAAUCCUAUGACUAAGAUUCAAGGUUUAAUUGGUAGUUCUAUUGAAUCAUUUGCUUUGUUUUUAAUAUUAGCUUUGAUUUUGUAUAUUAUUUGUAGAAGAGUUAAUCAGACGCAAGAAGAGAAUAGGAGACAUACUGUUGUUUUUGCUUUAAUGAUGACAGAUAUGAAUGCCUCAUGUCAGAAAAAAGAAAGGGGAAAUGUGGGAUAAAAUCCCACAUGCUGUGUGCUCACUUUAAAUUUCAGUAACAGGCAAAUAGGCUUUUGUGGAAUGUAGCUCUGUUGAAGACCUGGCUGCCUUGGUCAGCAUGACAGGGCCUGAAGGUCUGGAGGUAAAAGUCCACCUUCAGCAACUCUGAUCUAUGUGGCCAUUAAGCCUGCAAGGAAAGGGGUUGACAGCCCUUCCUGCAGAGACACGGCCCAGAGGUUGAUGUAUGUGAAAAUGUACAUUGUAAAGCUGCAUGGCCUCCAGACUGCAGAUAACAAAAGCCAUAAACCUGUUUUCUGCAAUAUAAUGAGUGCAUGGUAAAACUCAAGGUCUUACUCCCUUUUUGGUUAUCUUGAGUUUUCAGUCUUACUCCCUUUUUAGUAAUCUCGAGUUUCCAGACUGUGUCUUCUUUGAAGGUUGAAAUAAAUUUAGAAAAUAUUAAUGGUAAGAAUGCUUUGAUUGUUGAUCAGUGGCAUGUACGUGACCAACCUGCUAUAUAAGGUGGUCAGAAAUAAAGAUCAUUGCUACUUGCCAUCA